rnacentral:rRNA from 1 species
ACGAACGCUGGCGGCGUGCUUAACACAUGCAAGUCGAACGGUGAAGCGCCUUCCUUUUUGGUGGGUGUGGAUGAGUGGCGAACGGGUGAGUAACACGUGAGUAACCUGCCCCCUUCUUCUGGAUAACCGCAUGAAAGUGUGGCUAAUACGGGAUAUUCUGGGUCUGUCGCAUGAUGGGUCUGGGAAAGAUAUUGUUUCGGUGGGGGAUGGGCUCGCGGCCUAUCAGCUUGUUGGUGGGGUGAUGGCCUACCAAGGCGGUGACGGGUAGCCGGCCUGAGAGGGUGGACGGUCACACUGGGACUGAGACACGGCCCAGACUCCUACGGGAGGCAGCAGUGGGGAAUAUUGCACAAUGGGCGCAAGCCUGAUGCAGCGACGCCGCGUGAGGGAUGGAGGCCUUCGGGUUGUGAACCUCUUUCGCCAGUGAACCAGGCCUGCCUCGUUUGUGGGUGGGUUGACGGUAGCUGGAUAAGAAGCGCCGGCUAACUACGUG